CCUACGGGAGGCAGCAGUGGGGAAUAUUGGACAAUGGGCGAAAGCCUGAUCCAGCCAUGCCGCGUGUGUGAAGAAGGCCUUCGGGUUGUAAAGCACUUUCAGUGGGGAAGAAAGCCUUGGGGCUAAUACCCUCGAGGAAGGACAUCACCCACAGAAGAAGCACCGGCUAACUCCGUGCCAGCAGCCGCGGUAAUACGGAGGGUGCGAGCGUUAAUCGGAAUUACUGGGCGUAAAGCGCGCGUAGGCGGUCUGAUAAGCCGGUUGUGAAAGCCCCGGGCUCAACCUGGGAACGGCAUCCGGAACUGUCAGGCUCGAGUGCAGGUGAGGUAGGUAGAAUUCCCGGUGUAGCGGUGAAAUGCGUAGAGAUCGGGAGGAAUACCAGUGGCGAAGGCGGCCUUCUGGACUGACAUUGACGCUGAGGGGCGAAAGCGUGGGUAGCAAACAGGAUUAGAUACCCGAGUAGUC
rnacentral:rRNA from 1 species